UAAUUUUGUAUGUCAUAGUUGAAGUGUACCUAUGAUGAAAAUGACAGGCCUCUCUCAUCUUUUUAAGUGGGAGAACUUGCACAAUUGGUGGCUGACUAAAUACUUUUUUGCCCUACUCUACUUGCGUAUUAUUUUUUGUACAUACGAACGUGGUACCUUCAAGCUUUUGGAAAUUGCUCCCAAGGAUGAACCAGACUUGUGGGGGUCUACAUUUUCUUCUUGACUGAUUUCUUUUGAUUUUCCCAUGAUGUCGAGCCAAGAGGCACUGAGUGUGAAGGUAUGUUUUGAUGUAAGAGAGGAAGCCAGUCCUGUCAUCUCCACCUCACCCGCUCUCAAGAUAACCUUUGGGCCGACUGGGAGCCCAAGGCUUGUUUGGAGA